rnacentral:lncRNA from 1 species
UUUUUUUCUCAUUCUCAAUAGGAGGUGUUGGGCCUCCUCCAGCAAUCCAGUUCUUAAUCUUUGUCUUGGUCCUUCUUCCCUGUUUCUUGCAGUUCUUUUCAAGAGGGAUCAAUAAAUCCUGCUUUUCUUCUCUUUGCCUUGAGUAAGUGGUCAUUUGUUCUCCCAAUCAUGCAUAUGAUUGAGACUAGGGUCCCCUGUCUUACACACCUGCACACCGGAGCUUAGUUUUAUGGCAACUAUUAGUGCUGUCCUCAUUGAUGUCCCCUUUUCUGCAGGAAGGCACUCUUCUGAUCACUCAAGCACUGUCCCCAUCAAGAAAGGUUGAGCCCUGGCCUUUCUGUCUUGGGUUACUAGCUCCUGUGUCAAAGUAUGGAGAGGGUCAUUUUGACUGAAGGAACCAGGCUGCAUGCCACUGCCCUAAAGCAAUGAAGAUCAGACUAUGUGUGGACAAUUCCAAGCACCUUUUGGUUAUAUUAGCAUUUUAAGAUAAAUAUUUUCAACAGCAAUUCCCUAAAGGUCUGCUAAAACCCAUACAGCAGAAAUAGAAAGGGUUGAGAUUUUGAGUAGCCAAACCAAAUGGCUACUGUCUGCAACUGCAGCUAAACUGGAGAGAGUGUAUGUUAGAGAUCUAGGCCUGGAGAGGAGCAAGGAAGAAGGAAACAGCCUUCGAGGAACGCUCACAACAUGUCAUGCUCUGAACUGGUGCUAAUUUGGUUUAGAUACAAUUUCCAGGUUCAUUGAUGGAUGCUUGGUCCCCAGUCUAGUGCUAUUGAGAUAGGAAAGCUCUGGAAGGUGGAGCCUAAUGGAAGGCAGUUAGGUUGUUGAGGGGGCACCACUGUCAUAAGAAAGUAAUGCUGUUCUCCUGGAACUCCGACUAGUUCCCAUAAGAGUGACUGGGUUGUUAUUCAAAUAGCAAGCCUUGCCUCUGGGUGUCUCUGGCUUCAUGUCUUACUGUGUUAUCUCUCUAGCACACCGUGAUGCCAUCACCAUGAGCCCCUCACCAAAGGCUGAAUGACCUUUAGCCUCUGAAACUAUAAAUAAAAUAAACAUCUUUUCUUUAUAAAAUACGCAGCUUCAGGUAUGUUGUUAUCACAACAGAAAUGGACUAAUACAGCAAGACACUAUAUGUAUCACAAACCUUAUUUUUCAAGUCAGAAGAGUGAGACUUUAAGAAGUUAAUUCCCAAGGUCUCCCAGUCUGUAAGUAGCUGAGCCAAAAUUUGGAACAAAAUCUGAGCCUGUCUGUCAACAUUCUUUUUAACACCAAGUAGUAACUAGAGUUUUGGAGACAGAAACUAAUAGUAUUGUCAGGUGUAACCCCAUGUUUAUGCUCUAAGGAAUAAUGAGAUUGGAAAGGAAGAUAACAUUAUGAUCCUGCUGACACUGGAAGACAACACUCAAUAGAGCUAUCUGGUCCUGCAAGAGACAGAGGUUUAAAACACAAAGCCAGGCAAGCCCCAAUUUUGUAAAGUUCAGCUUUAAUGGGGAAAAACUAUCUGAAGAAAAUCCAAUUAGGGUUUCUCUGUUAUGGAUAUGAAUCGGACCAACUGGAAGGGAGAAGGGGAGGUUUCAGGGUAUUUCAAUUUCAAAUCCCUUAGUAGGUGAAAUCUCUUCUUUCGGGCUUUUGCCGUUGUUAGAAUUCCUUAUUUAUUUA